rnacentral:rRNA from 1 species
CCUACGGGAGGCAGCAGUGAGGAAUAUUGGACAAUGGAGGCAACUCUGAUCCAGCCAUGCCGCGUGCAGGAAGACUGCCCUAUGGGUUGUAAACUGCUUUUAUACAGGAAGAAUAGUACCUACGUGUAGGUAUUUGACGGUACUGUACGAAUAAGGAUCGGCUAACUCCGUGCCAGCAGCCGCGGUAAUACGGAGGAUCCAAGCGUUAUCCGGAAUCAUUGGGUUUAAAGGGUCCGUAGGCGGUCUGAUAAGUCAGAGGUGAAAUCCUGCAGCUCAACUGUAGCAUUGCCUUUGAUACUGUUAGACUUGAGUUAUUGUGAAGUAGUUAGAAUGUGUGGUGUAGCGGUGAAAUGCAUAGAUAUCACACAGAAUACCGAUUGCGAAGGCAGAUUACUAACAAUAUACUGACGCUGAGGGACGAAAGCGUGGGUAGCGAACAGGAUUAGAUACCCUGGUAGUCCACGCCGUAAACGAUGGAUACUAGCUGUUCGAUGUACAUUGGUACAUUGAGUGGCUAAGCGAAAGUGAUAAGUGACCCACCUGGGGAGUACGCUCGCAAGAGUGAAACUCAAAGGAAUUGACGG